rnacentral:rRNA from 1 species
UACGAAGGGAGCUAGCGUUGUUCGGAAUCACUGGGCGUAAAGCGCACGUAGGCGGAUUUGUCAGUCAGGGGUGAAAUCCCGGGGCUCAACCUCGGAACUGCCUUUGAUACAGCAAGUCCUGAGUUCGAGAGAGGUGGGUGGAAUUCCUAGUGUAGAGGUGAAAUUCGUAGAUAUUGGGAGGAACACCAGUGGCGAAGGCGGCUCACUGGACCGGUACUGACGCUGAUGCGCGAAAGCGUGGGGAGCAAACAGG